GACUAAGCUACUAAGAGUGUACGGUGGAUGCCUUGGCGCCAAACGCCGAAGAAGGACGUGGGACACUGCGAUAAGCCUCGGUGAGCCGUGUGCAGGCGUAAUAACCGGGGAUUUCCGAAUGGGGAAACCCGCGCCAGAGAACCUGGCGCAUCCACGCAUGAACACAUAGUGUGUGGAAGGGCACGUGGGGAACUGAAACAUCUAAGUACCCACAGGAACAGAGAUAAUUCCGCUAGUAGUGGCGAGCGAACGCGGAUCAGCCCAAACCAGGCCGGCAUGCCGGCCUGGGGUUGUAGGACCAACACGUGAGCAGACAGGUGGCUAGCAGAAUGGUAGUGAGAAGCCAACCAUAGAGGGUGCUAGUCCCGUAAGCGAAAGCUACUUGCUGCUCGUUGGUAUCCUGAGUACGGCCGGACACGCUAACCCGGCCGGAAGCUGGGGAGACCACUCCCCAAGGCUAAAUACGUUUGGCGACCGAUAGUGAACAAGUACCGUGAGGGAAAGGUGAAAAGCACCCCUGCUAGGGGAGUGAAAUAGAACCUGAAACCGUACACUUACAAACAGUCGAAGGGCUAAUGGCAGGUUGAGUAUCCUAGGAAUAGGGUGGCUCCCUGCUAGGCCUGACGGCGUGCCUUUUGGAGAAUGAGUCUGCGAGUUCAUACAUGUGGCUAGCCUAAGGGAGUGACACCUGGAGGCGCAGCGAAAGCGAGUCUGAAUAGGGCGAUGAGUCGCAUGUAUGAGGCACGAAACCCGGUGAUCUACCCAUGGCCAGGGUGAAGCGGGCUUAACCGCCCGUGGAGGCCCGAACCUACUGUUGUUGCAAAAACAGGGGAUGAGCUGUGGGUAGGGGUGAUAUGCCAACCGAACUGGGAGAUAGCUUGUUCUCCCCGAAAUAGCUUUAGGGCUAGCGUCACGCGUUCAGUAACGGAGGUAGAGCACUGGAUUGGCUAGGGGCCUCAUCGGUUACCAAACCAAACCAAACUCCGAAUGCCGUUACUCCAGAGCGUGGCAGUCGGACUACGGGUGAUGAGAUUCGUGGUCGAAAGGGAAAGAGCCCAGAUCAUCGGCUAAGGUCCCUAAAUUCGAGCUAAGUGGAAAACGAUGUGGGAUUGUUUAGACAGCCAGGAGGUUGGCUUAGAAGCAGCCACCCUUUAAAGAGUGCGUAAUAGCUCACUGGUCAAACGAUCCUGCGCGGACAAUUUACCGGGGCUAAGCUCGAUACCGAAGCCGUGAAUUCGCCGCAAGGCGAGUGUUAGGGGAGCGUUCCGCCAGCAGGGAAGGUCGACCGGAAGGACGGCUGGAGCGGGCGGAAGUGAGAAUGCAGACAUGAGUAGCGUAAAACACGUGAGAACCGUGUUCGCCGUAAACCUAAGGUUUCCGACGCAAGGUCAGUCCGCGUCGGGUUAGUCGGGCCUUAGCCGAGGCCGCAAGGCGUAGGUGAUGGACAUCCGGUCAACAUUCCGGAACCGACCAAGCAGAGCGAAGAGGUGACGCAGAGAGGUAAGCCAGCCUUCCCAACGGACAUGGAAGGUGCAAAGCGCGUAGGUGAUGAGACUGGCAGGCAAAUCCGCCAGUUGAGCCGAGGCGUUAUAGCGUGCCCCCGAGGCAAAAGUGGUCAAGCCUAGCUGCCAAGAAAACCCUCGUAGUGAUGAAGCUUGGUUGCCCGUACCGCAAACCGACACUGGUAGGUGGGUCGAGUAGACCAAGGCGACCGGAAGAACCCUCGUUAAGGAAUUAGGCAAAAUAACCUCGUAACUUCGGGAGAAGAGGUGUCUCCUGGCGUGAAUUCAAUCCGAAGGAGCGCUGGGGGAUCGCAGUGAAAUGGCUCUAGUGACUGGUUAACUAAACCACAGGUCUCUGCUAAGCCGCAAGGCGAAGUAUAGGGGCUGACACCUGCCCAGUGCCGGAAGGUUAAGGGGAGAGGUUAGGCGCAAGCCGAAGCUUUGAACCGAAGCCCCGGUGAACGGCGGCCGUAACUAUAACGGUCCUAAGGUAGCGAAAUUCCUAGUCGGGUAAGUUCCGACCCGCACGAACGGUGUAACAACUGGAGUACUGUCUCAACGAGGGAUCCGGCGAAAUUGAAAUGGCAGUGAAGAUGCUGCCUACCCGCAGUAGGACAAAAAGACCCCGUGGAGCUUUACUACACUUUGGCAUUGUGUUAGAACUUCGUCUGCGUAGCAUAGGUGGGAGGCUUCGAACCUGGGCUUCUGGGCUCGGGGGAGCCGCAAUGUGAAAUACCACCCUGAUGAAGUUUUGACCCUAACCUCAGACCGUAAACCGGCUGGGGGACCGUGCCAGACGGGUAGUUUGACUGGGGCGGUCGCCUCCCAAAGGGUAACGGAGGCGCCCAAAGGUUCGCUCAGGCUGAAUGGAAACCAGCCGCAGAGUGUAAAGGCACAAGCGAGCUUGACUGCAAGGCCAAUGCGCCGAGCAGAGACGAAAGUCGGGCUUAGUGAUCCCACGGUUCAGAGUGGAAUGGCCGUGGCUUAUCAGACAAAAGCUACCCCGGGGAUAACAGGCUGGUGAGAUCCAAGAGUUCACAUCGACGAUCUCGCUCGGCACCUCGAUGUCGGCUCAUCGCAUCCUGGGGCUGUACAAGGUCCCAAGGGUUGGGCUGUUCGCCCAUUAAAGCGGUACGUGAGCUGGGUUCAGACCGUCGUGAGACAGGUCGGUCUCUAUCCACUGUGGGCGUAGGGGACUUGAGGAAGCCUGUCCUUAGUACGAGAGGACCGGGAUGGACGAACCUCUGGUGUGUCGGUUGUCGCGCCAGCGGCAUGGCCGAGUAGCUACGUUCGGUUGAGAUAACCGCUGAAUGCAUCUAAGUGGGAAACUCGUUCCAAGAUUAAGUCCCCCAUGGCGUAAGCCAGUAAGACCGCAGGUAGACGACCUGCUAUAUAGGCGUCCGCGUGUAAACUUUCAAGCCGCAAGGCAAGGGGUGAGCGUAGGCGUCCUAAUCGGUCGAGGGCUUAGUCCA
rnacentral:rRNA from 1 species